GACGAACGCUGGCGGCGUGCUUAACACAUGCAAGUCGAACGGAAAGGCCCUGCUUUUGUGGGGUGCUCGAGUGGCGAACGGGUGAGUAACACGUGAGUAACCUGCCCUUGACUUUGGGAUAACUUCAGGAAACUGGGGCUAAUACCGGAUAGGAGCUCCUGCUGCAUGGUGGGGGUUGGAAAGUUUCGGCGGUUGGGGAUGGACUCGCGGCUUAUCAGCUUGUUGGUGGGGUAGUGGCUUACCAAGGCUUUGACGGGUAGCCGGCCUGAGAGGGUGACCGGCCACAUUGGGACUGAGAUACGGCCCAGACUCCUACGGGAGGCAGCAGUGGGGAAUAUUGCAAAAUGGGCGGAAGCCUGAUGCAGAAACGCCGCGUGGGGGAUGACGGCCUUCGGGUUGUAAACCGCUUUCGCCUGUGACGAAGCGUGAGUGACGGUAAUGGGUAAAGAAGCACCGGCUAACUACGUG
rnacentral:rRNA from 1 species